UACAGAGGGGGCAAGCGUUGUUCGGAAUUACUGGGCGUAAAGGCGCGUAGGCGCCUUCUAAGUCGAACGUGAAAUCCCUGGGCUCAACCCAGGAACUGCGUCCGAUACUGGAAGGCUUGAAUCCGGGAGAGGGAUGCGGAAUUCCAGGUGUAGCGGUGAAAUGCGUAGAUAUCUGGAGGAACACCGGUGGCGAAGGCGGCAUCCUGGACCGGCAUUGACGCUGAGGCGCGAAAGCCAGGGGAGCAAAGCGGG
rnacentral:rRNA from 1 species